rnacentral:rRNA from 1 species
AUUUGGACCGGCCCGCGUUAGAUUAGGUAGUUGGUGGGGUAACGGCCUACCAAGCCUACGAUCUAUAGCUGGUUUUAGAGGAUGAUCAGCAACACUGGGACUGAGACACGGCCCAGACUCCUACGGGAGGCAGCAGUGGGGAAUCUUGGACAAUGGGCGCAAGUGAUCCAGCCAUGUCGCGUGAGUGAUGAAGGCCUUAGGGUCGUAAAGCUCUUUCGCCAGGGAUGAUAAUGACAGUACCUGGUAAAGAAACCCCGGCUAACUCCGUGCCAGCAGCCGCGGUAAUACGGAGGGGGUUAGCGUUGUUCGGAAUUACUGGGCGUAAACGUACGUAGGCGGAUCAGAAAGUUGGGGGUGAAAUCCCGGGGCUCAACCCCGAACUGCCUCCAAAACUCCUGGUCUAGAGUUCGAGAGAGGUGAGUGGAAUUCCGAGUGUAGAGGUGAAAUUCGUAGAUAUUCGGAGGAACACCAGUGGCGAAGGGGCUCACUGGCUCGAUACUGACGCUGAGGUACGAAAGUGUGGGGAGCAAACAGGAUUAGAUACCCUGGUAGUCCACACCGUAAACGAUGAAUGCCAGUCGUCGGGUAGCAUGCUAUUCGGUGACACACCUAACGGAUUAAGCAUUCCGCCUGG